GGGCACUGGCCGAGCCUGGCGGGGCGAGGAAUUUACUGCUUUCCCUUCUCCCCUGCACCCCGGCUUAGCUGGCGCGGUUUCAGCGAGGUAAAAUGCAGCGCUUCUAGCGAAGGUAGCGAGCCUCGAAGAGCGCGAUUAUUUUAAAAAGGAGAAAGAAGUCUGCUUCUGCAUAAGUGCCUGUGGGCAACAGGGAAGCAAGAAAGGGAAGCAUUGCCUUGUGGUACUCUCCGUGCAUCUGGGAACUGCUCCAGCACAGCCCAGGAAGAACAGGCCUGGAAAUCAGUGUGGUGAUUUAUUUCAGAACAGUGUGGCUGAUUUCCAUGCAUCUACUGAACACAGCAGACCAGCCUAUGAUGGUGUCCUGGCCCAGGGAUGCUGCAUGAUAUAUUGGAGACCCCCACAGGCAGAGGGAACCAGCUCUCUGCGUUCCUCGGGCUGCUGUGAAUUCCCAGAGGAGGGCUGCAUGUUUGCAAACACCAGCAACCACAGAUUGCUGCAGGUCCCAAAGCUUUGGAAGGACGCAUGCUUUUCUUCACAAUAGUUCAACCAUUACAGCAGACCUCCAUGAGAUCCCCAAAUUUUCCUAAAGCUUCAGCUCCAAUAGCAUACCUGUUUUUCCCAAAGCAUAUUAUUACUUUAACACUUUAUUAUACACACUGUC
rnacentral:lncRNA from 1 species